UUUCGCAAUGCCCGAAAGGGUGACGAAGCGACGCCGCGUGGGUGAGGAAGGCCUUCGGGUUGUAAAGCCCUGUCAGGAGUUAAGAAACAUAAGUGCGCUAAUACCGCAUUUAUUUGACGAAGGCUCCAAAGGAAGCCACGGCUAACUCUGUGCCAGCAGCCGCGGUAAUACAGAGGUGGCAAGCGUUGUUCGGAAUUAUUGGGCGUAAAGAGCACGUAGGUGGGUUUGUAAGUCAGAUGUGAAAGCCUUCUGUUCAACGGAAGAAUUGCAUCUGAAACUGCAGGUCUUGAGUGUAGGAGGGGAGAAUGGAACUUCUGGUGGAGCGGUGAAAUGCGUAGAUAUCAGAAGGAACGCCGGCGGCGAAAGCGAUUCUCUGGCCUAUUACUGACACUCAGUGUGCGAAAGCUAGGGGAGCAAACGGGAUUAGAUACCCCGGUAGUCCUAGCCGUAAACGAUGGGCACUAAGUAGAGGGGUUUUCUGGCCUAUUACUGACACUCAGUGUGCGAAAGCUAGGGGAGCAAACGGGAUUAGAUACCCCGGUAGUCCUAGCCGUAAACGAUGGGCACUAAGUAGAGGGGUUUUA
rnacentral:rRNA from 1 species